rnacentral:rRNA from 1 species
GUGUCAGCAGCCGCGGUAAUACGUAGGGUGCGAGCGUUGUCCGGAAUUAUUGGGCGUAAAGAGCUUGUAGGCGGUUUGUCGCGUCUGCUGUGAAAUUUCGGGGCUUAACCCCGAACUUGCAGUGGGUACGGGCAGACUAGAGUGUGGUAGGGGAGACUGGAAUUCCUGGUGUAGCGGUGAAAUGCGCAGAUAUCAGGAGGAACACCGAUGGCGAAGGCAGGUCUCUGGGCCAUAACUGACGCUGAGAAGCGAAAGCAUGGGGAGCGAACAGGAUUAGAUACCCUGGUAGUCCAUGCCGUAAACGUUGGGAACUAGGUGUGGGUCUCAUUCCACGAGAUCCGUGCCGCAGCUAACGCAUUAAGUUCCCCGCCUGGGGAGUACGGCCGCAAGGCUAAA